rnacentral:rRNA from 1 species
CGGCUGCAGUAUCCUGNCNGUANUAAGGUAGCAUAAUCAUUUGGCCUNUAAUNGAGGUCUGGAANGAAAGGCUAANCGGGAAAUAGCUGUCUCUAUGGUUCAUACUGAAUUUAUGUUAAAGGNGAANACACCUUUAUUUUCAGGAAAGACNAGAAGACCCCAGGAGCUACAUGAUUUCUAGAUAUUUUUGAAAUUUAUAGAAUCAGUUAGGUUGGGGCGACCCUGGAACAUUAAAAGCUUCUGGAAAAUCAUAAGACUGUAAAAGAACCCUUAUCAAGGGUUAUUUGAAUAAUUUUAGUUACCCUGGGGAUAACAGCACAAUCUUUAGCUGGAGAUCUAAUCCUCCUAAAGGUUUGUGACCUCGAUGUUGGACUANNNGAGNUCUCUGGAGCANAANUUANANAAUGCUAGUCUGUUNGACUAUUAAACCUUUAC